rnacentral:rRNA from 1 species
UACGUAGGCAGCGAGCGUUGUUCGGAGUUACUGGGCGUAAAGGGUGUGUAGGCGGUUGUUUAAGUUUGGUGUGAAAUCUCCCGGCUCAACUGGGAGGUGCGCCGAAUACUGAAUGACUUGGAGUGCGGGAGAGGAAAGUGGAAUUCCUGGUGUAGCGGUGAAAUGCGUAGAUAUCGGGAGGAACACCAGUGGCGAAGGCGGCUUCCUGGCCUGUUCUUGACGCUGAGGCGCGAAAAGCUAGGGUAGCAAACGGGG